ensembl:snRNA U6 U6 spliceosomal RNA
AUGCUCUCUUUGGCAGCACAUAUACUAAAAUUGGAACAAUACAGAGAAGAUUAGCACAGCCCCUGAACAAGGAUGGCAUGCAAAUUCAUGAAGCAUUCCAUAUUUUU